GUUCGUUGAUCCUUCAAGUGAUGCCUCCCUUUGCAAAGAUCAUGUUGCUCUUGAAAUCUGAGGUGAAAUCUGAAGAAUCCUACAAUAGAUCUGUACAUCAGGUGCAACACCACUGUCGGCUUCAGUAAGAAGCUCUGGAAAAGCAACAAGUACACAACACUUGUAGACAUCAUGGAAGAAGGUUGUAAAUCUGCACAGAGAUUGACGCUGUCAGUUAUGAUGGUGAAGACACUAGGGCACAGAAGGGCAGAAUAUGCAGCCCGGGACACACGACUCAGCUCAUUAGUACUCAGUUCUGUGAUUUGAAACCCACAAUAACUUUCCUCUCCAUCAAAGCCAUAUAAUAAAAAUCAAACACAAAUGAUCCUAACACUGUAUGUAGUCGCACAUGUCUAUAAUCCUGGUACUUGAGAAGGCUAAUAUGGGUAGACUGAUCAAAACUUGAGACUAGCAAGAGCCAAUUAGUGGGACCCUAUCUAAAAAUAAACAAGCAAAACACACUGUGAAUUGUUUCUCUAAAGAAAUGCUACUUUAAAGAAACAUAUCUUUAGAGAAAAUAAAAUACAACUCUCACAAUGUUCUGUAAUACUUAACUGGCAUUAACUAAUAAAUCAUUCCAUCAAUAUAAUCCCUAAUCAUCGACCAAAACAAGAGGAUUUAUUUAUAAAAUUAUAAUGCUCUAAUAUAAAAUAUU
rnacentral:sRNA from 1 species